GUGGGGAGUGGGUCAGGCAUUCCCCAGUGGGCACAGGUAGCAGGGGCAUGUCUUCUGGAGCCAGGUCAGGUGGUCUAGGCCUCUGGUGGCCCAUGAGCCACGGGUGCUCCAUGGCAUGGGUGCCUUCACGAGGAGAACCUUCAAGAUCACUUGGAACCCCUGCCCGUUGGUAUUGGGAAAGCAGUUUAUUCGUUGAUUUAUGCUGGGAGGAGGCCCCCAGAUCAGGGAGGGAGGGGGGAGAAGGCCCAGGGGAGCAGAGGAGCCUGGGUCUCCCUCAGGACGCCUGGGAGUCAGCUCAGGAGGAAUCAGGGGCCCACUCGCCCCAGGCCCGCCCAGACGGCCGCUUCCUCCCCUUCCCUUCGCAGAGAGCCGGGCCACACGCACCUGCCUCCCCCCACGUCACAGGAAAUGUCUUCAUGAAAUAUUGAUCAGUUCGCACAAGCCUUGGGUUGUUGGAGGAAAGGACAGGGAGACUUUUGCAUGUAAAUGAGAUGUGUUCAGUUCUUCCUUAACCCUUUCCUGCCUGGGGGAAGCUCGGCCCUUCUUGGAUCCCCAGGAAGUGGGCGGGAUGCACAGGCGGUCGCCUUGCAGACCGUGGGACCAGGACACACAGGAUGCAGCCAUGGCCAUGAAGGUGCCUUGCCUCUGCCUCAGCAGGCCACCUGGCUGCGCCUCUGUUAGAUCCAGAGACACGGUGGUGUCAGCUCCCCCGCCCCGGGCCUGGGCCAGGCGAUGCUUCUCAGCAGCAGAGGCUUCCAGCCAGGGCCUGGCACUGCGUCAUCUGGAAAGAAGCUUCCGUCUUGAUUUUAAAUGUCAUAAUCCUAUCUUGCAACUCAUGGUGGUAUCAAAAGAGGCAUCUUCAGAUCUGGUUCCAGCACCCAGGGCUCUGAGCACUGGGGAAGGGGAUGGAGUGGAGCAGGACCUCCUGGCCUCGGACUCCACACCUGUAAAACGAAGAAAACAAAGGAGGUCUAACAGGCCAGGAUGCUGUGACAGCUGGCUUACCUCGGCCUUCCAAGUCAGGGCACGCAGUAGCAGGUAA
rnacentral:lncRNA from 12 species